rnacentral:rRNA from 1 species
UACGUAGGUGGCUAGCGUUGUCCGGAUUUACUGGGCGUAAAGGGCGCGUAGGCGGCCUGGCAAGUGGAAGGUGAAAUCCCUCGGCUUAACCGAGGAACUGCCCUCCAAACUGCUUGGCUUGAGUCCGGGAGAGGUGAGUGGAAUUCCCAGUGUAGCGGUGAAAUGCGUAGAUAUUGGGAGGAACACCAGUGGCGAAGGCGGCUCACUGGACCGGAACUGACGCUGAGGCGCGAAAGCGUGGGGAGCAAACGGG